rnacentral:rRNA from 1 species
UACGAGAGGUGCGAGCGUUAUUCGGAUUUAUUGGGUGUAAAGGGUGCGUAGACGGCGUGUUAAGUUUGUUGUUAAAUCCUCCGGCUCAACCGGAGAUAUGCGGCAAAUACUGGCAUGCUAGAGGAUGGAAGAGAGAAGUGGAAUUCUUGGAGUAGCGGUAAAAUGCGUAGAUCUCAAGAGGAACACCGAUGGCGAAGGCAGCUUCUUGGUCCAUUCCUGACGUUGAGGCACGAAAGCGUGGGGAGCAAACAGGAUUAGAUACCCUGGUAGUCCACGCUGUAAACGAUAAUCACUAGACGUUGGUUCUGUUUAACGGGACCAGUGUCGAAGCUAACGCGUUAAGUGAUUCACCUGGGAAGUACGGUCGCAAGAUUAAA